CGGGAUGUAGCUCAGCUUGGUAGAGCACUUGGUUUGGGACCUUGGGGUCGCAGGUUCGAAUCCUGUCUUCCCGA
rnacentral:tRNA from 1 species